GCCAGUGUGGCUCAGUGGAUAGAGCAUUGGCCUGUGGACUGAAAGGUCCCAGGUUCGAUUCCCGGUCAGGGCA
rnacentral:tRNA from 1 species